rnacentral:rRNA from 1 species
UAACGUGAGAGUUUGAUCCUGGCUCAGAGCGAACGCUGGCGGCAGGCUUAACACAUGCAAGUCGAGCGGG